AUUGAUUUUAACAUUUGAAUUUUGAUUAUAAUACUCAUGCAAGAGUUUAUUAUUUACUUAAUAAUAGGUUUAGAAAAAUAAAAUAUUGAAAUUAAAUAUUUUUAUAAUGGCUGGAACAUCACAAUGCUCAGUUGGAUUGAUUUUAAAAUCAAAUUGUCACAAGUUAACAUUUACAAACCACAUUGGAAUAAACUUUUUUCAAGAUUUAGCUCCAGAUGAGCAAAAUUUAGUUGCGCUAAAGUCUGGUGUUUCUUCUGUUUUGAUUAUUGACUUACAUUUUCAUCAUCAAAAGUUCUAUCUUGAGAAGUUCCCUGUGUUUCAGAAUAAAUGCUGUAAUCCACUGUUAGUUCACAAAUAACCGUGCAAAGCAUCUCUCAGAGAAGCCAUGUUAAGAACCAUAGCUUUAAACAACAGGAUCAAUAUUGUACCUGGUCAAAAAAUUUGUACUAAUUGCUUAGUCAAAUUAAAAGCUUCCACUGAAAUUAAUACUGAUAACAUUAAUUUUGCUAAUGAUUACACAAAUGAAAGUAUAAAUAAAGAAAACAUAUUUAGUGUUCAACAAGAAGCUGAUAUAAAUAAAAACAGACAAGAACUUUCUGAUUGUCUCAGUAUAAUUGGUGUUUCACCAGUCAGGCUUCACGGAAAGCCAUUUGCAAAUCGUAUGAGUAUUGGGAAAAAUAAAAAUUAAAACUAUUGCAAAAGUUUUCAAAGAAAAGUUAUCAAGUUCUUUAAAAAUUCCAUUGACAGAAGUUGAAGUUUUUGAUAAUGAAUAUGUUCUUGAUUUAAAAAAAAAAGUUGUUCAAAAAAUGUUAGUUUUGAUCAAAGAUAAACUUGAAAAAUGCAGUUCAUUUAGGGAAAAAAUUCAAGUAUUGACUUUGUGCCCACAAGAAUGGUCA